rnacentral:tRNA from 1 species
AAGAAAGUGGCAGAAUGGCCAUGUGAUUGACUUGAAAUCAAUUUAUGGGGGUUCAAUUCCUCCCUUUCUCG